GACGAACGCUGGCGGCGUGCUUAACACAUGCAAGUCGAACGGAAAGGCCCUGCUUUUGUGGGGUGCUCGAGUGGCGAACGGGUGAGUAACACGUGAGUAACCUGCCCUUGACUUUGGGAUAACUUCAGGAAACUGGGGCUAAUACCGGAUAGGAGCUCCUGCUGCAUGGUGGGGGUUGGAAAGUUUCGGCGGUUGGUGAUGGACUCGCGGCUUAUCAGCUUGUUGGUGGGGUAGUGGCUUACCAAGGCUUUGACGGGUAGCCGGCCUGAGAGGGUGACCGGCCACAUUGGGACUGAGAUACGGCCCAGACUCCUACGGGAGGCAGCAGUGGGGAAUAUUGCACAAUGGGCGGAAGCCUGAUGCAGCAACGCCGCGUGCGGGAUGACGGCCUUCGGGUUGUAAACCGCUUUCGCCUGUGACGAAGCGUGAGUGACGGUAAUGGGUAAAGAAGCACCGGCUAACUACGUG
rnacentral:rRNA from 1 species